GCUGGGCAUGGUGGUGCAUGCCUGUAGUCCCAGCUGCUCGGGAGGCUGAGGCAGGAGAAUCACUUGAACCCAGGAGGCAGAGGUUGCAGUGAGCUGAGAUCGCGCCACUGCACUCUAUCAUGGGUGACAGAGUGAGACCCUGUCAA
rnacentral:sRNA from 1 species